rnacentral:rRNA from 1 species
CCUACGGGAGGCUGCAGCGAGGAAUAUUGGUCAAUGGACGAGAGUCUGAACCAGCCAAGUAGCGUGAAGGAUGACUGCCCUAUGGGUUGUAAACUUCUUUUAUAAAGGAAUAAAACGAGGCACGGGUGCCUUUUUGCAUGUACUUUAUGAAUAAGGAUCGGCUAACUCCGUGCCAGCAGCCGCGGUAAUACUGAGGAUCCGAGCGUUAUCCGGAUAUAUUGGGUUUAAAGGGAGCGUAGAUGGGUUGGUAAGUCAGUAGUGAAAGUUUGCGGCUCAACCGUAAAAUUGCAAUUGAUACUGGCAGUCUUGAGUACAGUUGAAGUAGGCGGAAUUCGUGGUGCAGCGGUGAAAUGCUUAGAUAUCACGAAGAACCCCGAUUGCGAAGACAGCUUACUAAACUGUGACUGACAUUGAUGCUCGAAAGUGUGGGUAUCAAACAGGAUUAGAUACCCGAGUAGUC